CUGCAUUCCCAGGCAUUAGGUAUUCAAAGUCACAGAAUGAGAUAGGAGGUCAGCACAAGGUACAGGUCAUAAAAACCUUGCUAAUUAAACAGGUUGCAGUAAAGAAGUUAACGAAUCCUACCAAAACCGAGAUGGCAACAAGAGUGACCUGGUCAUCCUCACUGCUCAUUAUAUGCUAAUUAUAAUGCAUUAGCAUACUAAAAGACACUCCCACCGGCUCCAUGACAGUUUACAGAUGCCACGGCAACAGUGAAGAAGUUCCCCUAUAUAGUCUAAAAAGGGGAGGAAACCUCAGCUCUAGAAAUUGCCCAUGCCUCUCUGGAAAACUCAUGAAUAAUCCACCCCCUGUUUAGCAUAACAUCAAGAAAUAACUAUAAGUAUCCUCAGUCCAGCAGCCCAUGCUGCUGCUCUGCCUAUGGAGUAGCCAUUUCUAAUUCUUUACUUUGUUCGUUAACUUGUUUUCACUUUACUUUAUGGACUCGCUCCAAAUUCUUUCUUGCACCAGAUCCAAGAACCGUCUCCUGGGGUCUGGAUUAGGACCCCUUUCCAGUAACAUUAAUAUUUUAUUCAUGUUCUAUCCAUAGCCUUGCACAGUGUCUGGCACAAGUAGGCAAUCAAUAAAACUUUUGUUCAAUAAAUAAGAACUCUGUGACAUGAGCUCAUUAUUUGUUCCCUUGUGUAGAUGAGGUAGACCCGCAGCCAGGUUUGACUUCUUGCACUGUUACCAAGCAAUCGAAUGGCUCAUUUCCUGACGUGCAUAGAAGCCAGUACCACAGCACCAGCUUUUGAGAAAAGAAAAGCUUUAUUGGAAGUUGACUAGAAAGGAGACCAAAGGAAAUGCUCAAAUCUGUCUCCCUGAGCUUGGGGCUGUGGGGUUUUAUAAGCACAGGGUAAUAAGGCAAGAUCUGAUGGGGUCUUGCAAUGACAUGAUGCUGGGAGGCAUGAUCUGAUUGGAUCCUGCCAUGGAGUGACACCAGGGCUCAAUCUGAUUGGAUCUUGGAUCCUGUCAUGUGGUGUCCGCUUCUGAAUUCAGUCCUGCUCCUCCGCCAAAGCACUUAGGUUCUGCCUGUGGGUGGAUGCUUGGUCCAUAGGCGCAUGCACAGGGUAUGUGACCUUCAACCUGGGGGCAGCCCAUGGCAACUGAAAAACAACUGGCAACUUUGUUACAUAAAAGCCGAGCCAGGGGGCCGGGCGCGGUGGCUCAAGCCUGUAAUCCCAGCACUUUGGGAGGCCGAGACGGGCGGAUCACGAGGUCAGGAGAUCGAGACCAUCCCGGCUAACACGGUGAAACCCCGUCUCUACUAAAAAAUACAAAAAACUAGCCGGGCGAGGUGGCGAGCAACUGUAGUCCCAGCUACUCGGGAGGCUGAGGCGGAGAAUGGCGUGAACCCGGGAGGCGGAGCUUGCAGUGAGCUGAGAUCCGGCCACUGCACUCCAGCCUGGGCGACAGAGCGAGACUCUGUCUCAAAAAAAAAAAAAAAAAAAAA
rnacentral:lncRNA from 1 species